AGGACGAACGCUGGCGGCGUGCCUAACACAUGCAAGUGGAGCGACGAACCAGGCUUCGGCCUGGGGCAAAGCCGCGAACGGGUGAGUAACACGUGGGUAACCUGCCCCGAUGAUUGGGACAACCCGAGGAAACUCGGGCUAAUACCGAAUGUGCCCUCCGGCCAUAAGGCCACUGGGGAAAGGAAGCUUCGGCCUCCGCAUCGGGAUGGGCCCGCGGCCCAUUAGCUUGUUGGUGAGGUAACGGCUCACCAAGGCUGCGAUGGGUAGCUGGUCUGAGAGGACGAUCAGCCACACUGGGACUGAGACACGGCCCAGACUCCUACGGGAGGCAGCAGUGGGGGAAUAUUGGACAAUGGGCGCAAGCCUGAUCCAGCCAUGCCGCGUGAGUGAUGACGGCCUUAGGGUUGUAAAGCUCUUUCGCUAGGGACGAUAAUGACGGUACCUAGACAAGAAGCCCCGGCUAACUUCGUGCCAGCAGCCGC
rnacentral:rRNA from 1 species